GUUGCGCAGUAGUGCUAGCGGCUUCGCGGUUCGGUCCUCGCACCCGGCAGCCGCCACUGGUGCUGAGCUGCUAGGAAGCCCCUAUCGGCGAGCUCGUUGGAGCUUGAACCCAUUGUCACCCCUCCGACUCACCGGCCCAAAAAAAAAAAAAAUGGUUGAAGCAGAUCGCCCAGGAAAGCUCUUCAUUGGUGGGCUUAAUACGGAAACAAAUGAGAAAGCUCUUGAAGCAGUAUUUGGCAAAUAUGGACGAAUAGUGGAAGGUGAGUUGUCUGGCAGUACAGGCUGGGCUAUUAUAAUUAAAAUAUAAGCUAUGAUGAAUUUGAUUGCAUUGAUCGUCUGACAUGAUAAUGUAUUUUGUCCUCUAAGAAGUUCUGAGCUUUCUGUUUACACAUUUACUUUGGUUAUUUCAUUUGACCUAGGGUAACACUUUAUUUUUCUGAAAACUACUUUUUAGUACUCUUGAUGAAAGACCGUGAAACCAACAAAUCAAGAGGAUUUGCUUUUGUCACCUUUGAAAGCCCAGCAGACGCUAAGGAUGCAGCCAGAGACAUGAAUGGAAAG
rnacentral:sRNA from 1 species